CCCGCUGAACUUAAGCAUAUCAAUAAGCGGAGGAAAAGAAACCAACAGGGAUUGCCUUAGUAACGGCGAGUGAAGCGGCAAAAGCUCAAAUUUGAAAUCGGCCUCCAGGUCGAGUUGUAAUUUGUAGAUUGUAUCUUGAGAGCGG
rnacentral:rRNA from 1 species